rnacentral:rRNA from 1 species
CAUUAGCUAGUUGGUGAGGUAACGGCUCACCAAGGCCACGAUGCAUAGCCGACCUGAGAGGGUGAUCGGCCACAUUGGGACUGAGACACGGCCCAAACUCCUACGGGAGGCAGCAGUAGGGAAUCUUCGGCAAUGGACGAAAGUCUGACCGAGCAACGCCGCGUGAGUGAAGAAGGUUUUCGGAUCGUAAAACUCUGUUGUUAGAGAAGAACAAGGAUGAGAGUAACUGUUCAUCCCUUGACGGUAUCUAACCAGAAAGCCACGGCUAACUACGUGCCAGCAGCCGCGGUAAUACGUAGGUGGCAAGCGUUGUCCGGAUUUAUUGGGCGUAAAGCGAGCGCAGGCGGUUUCUUAAGUCUGAUGUGAAAGCCCCCGGCUCAACCGGGGAGGGUCAUUGGAAACUGGGAGACUUGAGUGCAGAAGAGGAGAGUGGAAUUCCAUGUGUAGCGGUGAAAUGCGUAGAUAUAUGGAGGAACACCAGUGGCGAAGGCGGCUCUCUGGUCUGUAACUGACGCUGAGGCUCGAAAGCGUGGGGAGCAAACAGGAUUAGAUACCCUGGUAGUCCACGCCGUAAACGAUGAGUGCUAAGUGUUGGAGGGUUUCCGCCCUUCAGUGCUGCAGCUAACGCAUUAAGCACUCCGCCUGGGGAGUACGACCGCAAGGUUGAAACUCAAAGGAAUUGACGGGGGCCCGCACAAGCGGUGGAGCAUGUGGUUUAAUUCGAAGCAACGCGAAGAACCUUACCAGGUCUUGACAUCCUUUGACCACUCUAGAGAUAGAGCUUCCCCUUCGGGGGCAAAGUGACAGGUGGUGCAUGGUUGUCGUCAGCUCGUGUCGUGAGAUGUUGGGUUAAGUCCCGCAACGAGCGCAACCCUUAUUGUUAGUUGCCAUCAUUCAGUUGGGCACUCUAGCAAGACUGCCGGUGACAAACCGGAGGAAGGUGGGGAUGACGUCAAAUCAUCAUGCCCCUUAUGACCUGGGCUACACACGUGCUACAAUGGGAAGUACAACGAGUCGCGAAGUCGCGAGGCUAAGCUAAUCUCUUA